rnacentral:snRNA from 1 species
AUAGUUUAUGCUAGGGAGACACCAUGAUCUGGAAGGUGGUUUUCCCAGGGUAAUUGUCUCUGAUAUGUCCUCCAUAGGAGGUCUAUAUUGAGCAGAUUCUUUUUGGUAUUGGGUGGUGGAACCGGAGCGUGCUCCAUCCACUC